AGUGCAAGUGAUGAUAUAACAGACAGGGACAUCAGAACUCCAUAGGAGGGAUGAUGAUUUGUCAUAAAAUGGGAAAUUGUCUGAUGUACU